rnacentral:sRNA from 1 species
CCGAGUUCGAGCGGUUCCUGGGUGGGC